CACAGCGUAGCUUACUAAAGCAUCUCGCUUACACCGAAAAGACACCCUCAAACGGGUCGCUGUGA
rnacentral:tRNA from 1 species